CUCAGGUGGGUGAGUUUCAUGUCACUGGAGAUAUUCAAGAUGAAGCCAAAAGACCACUUUUCUGGACAUUCUAAGGGAGUUGCCCCAUCAGAACCCUUCUGGAGCCCUCCAUGCACUGAUUCCCAGGAGGCCCAUACUGCUGCUUCUCCGGGACGCUGACCCACGUAUCUGGAAAGCUUCUCCUCUAUUAGGUGCCAAAGAAAGUAGAGGGAGAUCUGGACACAGAGGAGACAAGAGAGGGAAGAAGGCCGUGUAAAGAUAGAGGCAGAGAUUGGAGUGAUGUUGUCUCAAGCCAAGGAAUGCCAAGAGCCAGCAGAAGCUGCAGGAGGCAAGGAAGCAUUCUCUCCUAGAACCUUCAGGGGGAGCAUGGCACUGUUG
rnacentral:lncRNA from 1 species